GCCUGGUGCGUAAGCUACCAAGGCCACAUUAAUAGCCUCCAGAGUCCCGUAAAAUUCUGCAAUCGGCUCCCAACCUGAGUAGCUGGGUCCAACCUUUGAAGGAGACACUGGACGAUUUGAACUGUCGUCCCUAAAUUUUUCGAGGCUCGCAUAUGGGAUUUGAAUUUACCUAAAAGAUAACACAGCGCUGCCACCAAGCCAUCUUCCAAUAGAUUGAGGCCCAGAAUCUCCUUCACAUGAGCCUGAAAUAUAAACCGAUGGUUAUUGCAUCAUUUCUCCAAAAAAUGCUGCGAGACGUCACAAUUCCUUCCAGAGAUUUCCGAAGAACGAACCGCCUCUAAAUCUGAGUCCCUAAGACAAGAUCGCAACCUCUGCAGCUUUUUCACCAUACUUAUGUGAGGAUUGCAGCCCACGAUUGUUGAAACUCAAUCCUUUCCGAAUAACCUCCACUGAAUGUAGGAAGAGGAGGAGAGGCUUGAGAAACUCCGCCAAAAUGCUUGUUUUUCAGACUUGUGUAACGAACGCUACCAUCUAUAAGCAUUUAUGGUUGUAAGGUUGUAAAUAUUGGGAGCCAGCGCCCGCUGUUAUAUCCAGCUUCGGUUUGUCGGCAAAGAGGGUGUUAAGUGCCGGUUCCCAAAGGGGCUUCUAAAGGGAUUUAUCAUAUUUUAAAUUUGCGUGUUCGCGACAAGAAUUCUCCGGAAUGAGCCCCGAUUUCCUAUAUGGUGAGAGAGUGGGUGUUCGCUUCCUUGGCCGAACUAAGAGCUACCCAGGAUUCGAAGCGACUCUUGCUUGCCCACCCUACCAUUUGUCGCUUGGAUUCCGCAUCCUACGAGCGACCCCUUCUUGGGGUCGCCUACCAAGCUGCGGCAGCCGGCUAGCUGCGGCAUAAAUCUUUGUGUUUAAAACAUUAAAAAUUACUUAUUAGUACUGUUACGAUAUCGUAUUAAUAAUAAUUACGAUAUUUGAUGCUGGCACAAGACCCAACAAGCACUAAGAUUAAA